GUAGCAUAUUACUCUUCAUCAUUCCUCUUGACGGCAGGCCAUUUAUCCUUUUGACAUUAGAGGCAAUAUAAGAUAAACACUGAUUAGAUAGUGCAUACAACUAGAUUUUCAGUUUUGAUUUGCUUAAUUUGUGCAUUUUAGGACUGUGGAAACUGAUGCACAUUGUUAAGGUCAGAACCGGCACUUGGAAGCAAAAAAGAAUCCCAUGAAGUGUCCUUUUGAGAGGUAUUCAUAGGUGGAGAUGCUUGUUGCCUCAAAGCUAGUUGGUUGCUCUGCCAUUGCUUUUCAUUUGUGUGGGCUGCUGAAUUCUGAUAUAUUGCUACCUACAGGAUGUUGAAUUAUGAUAUAUUGCUGCCUACAGGAUGUUGAAUUCUGAUAUAUUGCUAUGGAGAUGCCAUACACGAAACUUUAUACCAAUCCAAAAAAAAAUAAAAUCAACCAUUUGAUCAAGCAUUGGUGUGGAACCAAGUAGUGGGUGGAUUAUUUGAAGAUAGUCGCCUGAGAGAAAUAUUCACUCAAUAUUCGACCUGGACAACUAAUAUGUACAUUAAAAAUUUUGCUGAUCUUCUGUUUUGAAGAAAAUCAGGCCAUUAAUUGUGGAGAAUGAUUCUUGAACAUGCAAGGCAUGAGUUUACAAUUAACUAUUAGGGGAGGAAUGGAAGAACCCGUCAGAAGAAAAGCAAGCACCUUCUGAAGAGAUUGCCAAGAAGUAGAGGGAAGAUUAUUUGCAACAAUCGGAGCUUUACAAACAGAAGAAGAAUGAGGUAAGUUUGCAUACAAGCAAUCAGAUUUCUUAUAAGAUAGAUCUGCAGAAAAUGAGAAUAUAUGUUAUUUGGAACUAGGAAGUGGCAACUCUUCAAAAGGAAGAUGAGGAAUAGAGAAAGGUUCAAAAGCAAGAAGCAUUGCAACUGCUCGAGAAGAAGGAAAAAACAGCGAACAUUGUUAAGGUUUAUAUACAUUAGUUGUCACUGCAGAUUCAUUUAUUCCCGUCAUGGUAGUUGGAGAAGGUUCAAUUGAUUGUAUUUCAUUUUGGCAAUGCUCAGAAAACAAAGGAGAAGAGAAAGAAGCAGAAGGAAAUGCGGAAAGUCGAUCCUAAUAAACUAAAGAAGCCUGCCACUUCUUUCCUUCUCUUCAGGUAAAAUGACUGUAAACAGACCCAAAUGGAUCCCCACAUCAACACCAAAUGGCAUUUAGAUUAUAUGUGGACAGCUCUAGGGAUAACAAUGAUAAUCAAUCCAAUAUCACCCAAAUUUCUUCGCAAUCCGGUAGCUAGAGAAAAAAAAAGAUUUUUUUUUUCCUUAGCAAUCCACUAUUUUGUACACUAUGAACCAUCUUCUCAUCAAAUGCUUUGCUUUUCUUUCUUUUUUUCCCUUCUUCCUUGAGGCCAUUAAUUGUGGAGAACGAUUCUUAAAAAUGCAAGGCAUGAGUUUACAAUUAAGUGUGUGGGAUAAUGAG